rnacentral:rRNA from 1 species
UAAACGACUCUCGGCAACGGAUAUCUCGGCUCUCGCAUCAAUGAGGAACGUAGCGAAAUGCGAUACUUGGUGUGAAUUGCAGAAUCCCGUGAACCAUCGAGUCUUUGAACGCAAGUUGCGCCCGAAGCCUUCUGGCCGAGGGCACGUCUGCCUGGGCGUCACGCAUCGCGUCGC